rnacentral:lncRNA from 1 species
UCAUAAAAAUAAUUAAACAGAGUCAUGAGGCAGAGAGUGACUGCCUGCAAAGGUUGGUGAAAUCCACUUUGAAGAGGAUAUUUAGAGGAGGAGACGUUUAGAAAUGAAGAGCUAUUCUAAAACUGAGAUCUCAUUGGCACAGAUUGUGUGAGUAUUUCUGGGAGGAUAAUCCCAAAUAGAAGGAAUAGAGAGAGCAAAAGCAG